rnacentral:rRNA from 1 species
GACAGAGGAGGCAAGCGUUGUUCGGAAUCAUUGGGCUUAAAGGGCGUGUAGGCGGCGGCGCAAGUGUCGAGUGAAAUCCCAUCGCUCAACGAUGGAACGGCUCGGCAAACUGCGUCGCUUGAGGUCGGUAGAGGUGCUCGGAACUCUAGGUGGAGCGGUGAAAUGCGUAGAUAUCUAGAGGAACGCCUGAGGCGAAAGCGGGGCACUGGGCCGAUUCUGACGCUGAGACGCGAAAGCGUGGGGGAGCAAACAGG